UCGGCGCGGCCGCGAGCACGGGCGCUUCGCUCGGCGGCUGCGGGGCGAGUUCGAUCAAUUGCCGGCCCGUGUCGCGCCAGGCGUCGAGCCCGCCGCGCAGCGCGAGCGCGUCGGCGAACCCCGCCUGCUUGAGGCGCUGCGCCAUCAGCGCAGCCGACACCUCGUUCGGGCACGAGCAAUAGAUCACGAAUUUCUGCGUCGCCGGAUAGUGCGCGACGAUGUCGCGCAAAUCGCGCUCGUCGGCGAAUUGCGCGCCGGGGAUCGCGUACGGAUCGAGCUUGCGAUGUUCGGGCGAGCGCGCAUCGAAAACGACGGGCGCGGGCUCGGCUCGCAGCAGCCGCUCGAGUUCGUCGACGUCGAUGCGCGCGUUCGCGAGCUGGCGGAUCAGCGCGCGCCGGCGCAUCCAGCGCACGGCCGUAUAGACCGCGAGCAGCGCGACGAUCACGACGAGCACCGCGCGGCCGAGCUGGUUCGCGCCGGCGAACAGCCAGUCGAUCUGUUUCGCGAACGCGAAGCCGAUCGCCACGCCGCAGCCCGCCCACAGCAGCGCGCCGAGCCCAUCGUAGCCGACGAAGACCCGGUAGCGCGUGCCGAGCGCGCCCGCCAUCGGCACCGAGAUCAGCGACAGCCCCGGAAUGAAGCGCGCGACCGCGAGCACGCGCACGCCCCAGCGGCCGAAGAAGCGCUCGGUCUUCUUCACGCAGCUGUCGCGCGACAGCGAAAGCUUGCAUAAGGUUUUCAGCGCGCGGCCGCCGAAAUGCCGGCCGGCGACGUACCACACGGUAUCGCCGAUCAGCGCCGCGAGCACCGCGAGCGCGAGCACCCGGCGCGAGCUGCGCGCCCGAGCGCGUCCCGGAUGCAGUGUCGCCAUCGCGCCGAACAGGACGAGCGUCGGCAUGGCCGGCACCGGCAGUCCGAUCGCGGCGGCGAGCACGUUGACGAACACGAUGAGCGGCCCGAAGCGGGCGACGAGAUCAUGAAGCAUGACGAAACGUUGGACGAUUGCCGCGAAGCGCGCGCGGCAUGGAGCGCGUGGAUGCGCCGAUUAUCGGCUAUUUUCGGCAAGGAGGUCAUGCCGCGAGCGAAUGCGCGGCGAGUACGGUGAGGGCGCGGGCGGGUGCGGCCUCACCGUGGCGGGAUCAGGGCGCCGUGGUGCGGGCGAGCGGGACGGUGCCGUGCGUUUCGCCGGGCAGCUCCGCGCCGUGCGAGCGAAUCGCGGCGAUCAACUCGGCGGGGGUGAUUUCGUAGCGUACUUCCCGAUGGAUGCCGGGCUUGCGUUCGUCGACUUCGAUGAGCAGUACGCUUUUACCGUCUUCGGUGGCCACGAGACGCAGCGAGCGAAGCUCGCGGCCGUCAGCCUGAUCGAAUUCGGUCAGCAGGGUCAUGGCCUCGGAAGAACCGGUCGUGCGCAUUGAACGUGUCCUCGUGUCGUGAAGUAGGAAAUGUUGCUUUGCGGACUGCUUGAACGCAGUUUAACCGAACCGGGCGGCGGCCAUGAGAAUUUCGCGAGGCGUGCGAGCGGCCCGCCGAGGCCCCGCCGCGCGUUGCGGCGCGACGCCUCGGCGUUCGCGAAAACCCGCAUGUUGCGGCGGCGCAUCACGGCGAAAAGUAUGAGCGAAGCGGCGAGCGGCCCGGUGCGCCGCCGGCGCGGGGCAGCCGGGCCGACGCGGCGGGCGGCCUCGCGCGCGGCAGGCGUCGGCGCGGGGCUGCCGCGGGGCGGGCGUGUCGCGCCCGCCGCCGGAUCAGACGAGUCCCGUCAGGUAAUAGACGGCGAUCACGAAGAACACCGCGAGCGUCUUGAUGACGGUCACCGCGAAGAUGUCCCGAUACGAUUCGCGAUGCGUGAGGCCCGUCACCGCGAGCAGCGUGAUCACCGCGCCGUUGUGCGGCAGCGUGUCCAUGCCGCCGCUCGCCAUCGCGACGACCCGGUGCAGCACGUCCAUCGGAAUCUGCGCGGCCUGCGCGCCCUUGAUGAAGAGAUCGGACAUCGCCGCGAGCGCGAUGCUCAUGCCGCCCGACGCCGACCCCGUGAUCCCCGCGAGCGAGCUGACCGACACCGCCGCGUUGACGAGCGGAUUCGGAAUGUUCUUCAGCGCGUCGCCGACGACGAUGAAGCCCGGCAGCGCGGCGAUCACACCGCCGAAGCCGUAUUCGGACGCGGUGUUCAUCGCGGCGAGCAGCGCGCCGCCGACGGCCGCCUUGGUGCCCGUCGCAAAACGCUCGUGCACGCGCUUGAACGCGGUGAUGACGACGAGCAGGAUGCCGAGCAGGAGCGCCGCCUCGACCGACCAGAUCGCGACGACCGUCUUGAUCGGCGUCGUGAUCGGCGUAUGCACGCCCGGCAGCACGUCGGGCGGCACCGUGUACGACGCGCCGCCGUACCACACCGGAAUCAGUUUCGUCAGCGCGAAGUUCGCGACGCCGACGAGCACGAGCGGCGACACCGCGAGGAUCGGAUGGGGCAGCGAUUUCGUCUCGACGCGUUCCGGCUCGUUCACGAGCGACGUGCCGUAGCCUUCGCCGCGCGCGAGCGCCGAGCGGCGGCGCCAUUCGAGAUACGACAGGCCGACGACGACGAUGAACACCGAGCCGAUCGUGCCGAGCGCGGGCGCGGCCCACGCGGUGGUCUUGAAGAACGUCGUCGGGAUGAUGUUCUGGAUCUGCGGCGUGCCCGGCAGCGAAUCCAUCGUGAACGAGAACGCGCCGAGCGCGAUCGCGCCCGGCAUCAGGCGCUUCGGAAUGUUGCUCUGGCGAUAGAGCUCGGCCGCGAACGGAUAGACGGCGAACACGACGACGAACAGCGACACGCCGCCAUAGGUGAGCAGCGCGCACACCGCGACGAUCACCGCGUUCGCGCGCGAGCGGCCGAUGUAGCGGAUCGCGGCGGCGACGAUCGCCUCGGAGAAGCCGGACAGCUCGAUCACCUUGCCGAACACGGCGCCGAGCAGGAACACCGGGAAGUAGAGCUUCACGAAGCCGACCAUCUUUUCCAUGAAGAUGCCGGAGAAGACGGGGGCGACGGCGGCGGGAUCGGUCAGCAGCACCGCGCCGAGCGCGGCGACGGGGG
rnacentral:rRNA from 1 species